rnacentral:lncRNA from 1 species
GAGAGUGUGACAGCCCUGGUAAUUAAGAAAGUAAAUCAAAGAAUCAACACAGGAGUUAAGGAAUAGAUGAUAGCUAACUCCAAAUUGCUAAGAGUUAAGGUCCAAAAAUAACUUAGAUUUUGAACCAAGUGUUAAAACUCCCUCCUGUUGAGAAUCACUUGUGAAGCAAAUAAAAACAAAUUUUAUAUAAGAACUUAAAUUUUGACCAAUAUAAAAGUUGCUGAAUUUAUCAAGUUGAACACCUUUACUCAAAGCACUUCUUCUAAUUUUGAGCAGAGGAUGUUCCAAAAAUCAACUAGAAGUUCGGUCAAAUUUCAAUUAAAUUCAAAAAUAGCUUUGAUCGACGUUCCACCAAAGUUCCCACAAUCCUAUCUCCAACUCCCUC